rnacentral:lncRNA from 1 species
GAAAAAAGUUAGGCUCUGAAGAGUCCUGAGCCCAGAACAGCUGUGGGUGAAGCUGGGGAACUUAGAGGAUGCAGAGAAAAUACCUAGAGGUGGUCCUGGAAAGAACUCUAAGAAAUCUGCUGUGAAAGAGCCCCCAGGGGCGCUCAGGAAGAAAGAAGGCUGGCUUAAAGAGAUCGAGCCCGGGUCCAAGAGUUCUGGAGGACAGACUUGCUGGGAGGAGAUUGGGGAUCCAGUGCAGAGAGAACCCCGAGGGCAAUCACGGCGGGAGAGAACCCCAGUGUGGGGAGCGGAUCGAGCGAGGAAAUAGAUAGCUGAGCGGAGAUCUACCUAUCAGAGACCCCCAGCGGGGGAUCACACUGGAGAGACCGUGAAGGGCGAUCACUUGGAACUAACCCUGAGAAGUAUGGCACGAGGAGAACUCUGAAGGCGAUCAUUGAGGGGGAGAACCUUAAGCAACGUUUUCCUAAUACUGGAGGACUUGGAGGGGGUGGAAGAGAGAGGGUCGUGGAGAGCACCUAGAGAGGCUUCGCGCGGGGAUCGAGCUUGGUUUGGGAAAGCGUGGGCUUCCCGAGGGCAGCGCUGGCACAGAGCACCUGGCGCUGAGCAGCAGCGAAGGAGGAGGACGAGGAAACAGGAGGCUGACUCACGUGGGCCGGGGGGGCACAGGCUAGAGACUCGGGAUGGUUUCCCUCUCCUUGCUGUGGUGGAAGAGAUCUGGGCUAGAAGUUGGUGAGCUCAGCAUCCUCUUCCUACCCUGC